GACGAACGCUGGCGGCGUGCCUAACACAUGCAAGUCGAACGGAAAGGCCCUGCUUUUGUGGGGUGCUCGAGUGGCGAACGGGUGAGUAACACGUGAGUAACCUGCCCUUGACUUUGGGAUAACUUCAGGAAACUGGGGCUAAUACCGGAUAGGAGCUCCUGCGGCAUGGUGGGGGUUGGAAAGUUUCGGCGGUUGGGGAUGGACUCGCGGCUUAUCAGCUUGUUGGUGGGGUAGUGGCUUACCAAGGCUUUGACGGGUAGCCGGCCUGAGAGGGUGACCGGCGACAUUGGGACUGAGAUACGGCCCAGACUCCUACGGGAGGCAGCAGUGGGGAAUAUUGCACAAUGGGCGGAAGCCUGAUGCAGCAACGCCGCGUGCGGGAUGACGGCCUUCGGGUUGUAAACCGCUUUCGCCUGUGACGAAGCGUGAGUGACGGUAAUGGGUAAAGAAGCACCGGCUAACUACGUG
rnacentral:rRNA from 1 species